AAUGAACGUUGGCGGCGUGGAUUAGGCAUGCAAGUCGAGCGCGAACCCGCAAGGGGGAGAGCGGCAAACGGGGUAGUAACGGGUAGGUGACGUACCCUCGGGAUGGGGAUAGCCACGGGAAACUGUGGGUAAUACCCGAUAACCUCUUAAGGCGUAAGGCCUUGAGAGCAAAGGUGUGAUUCCACCGGAGGAGCGGCCUGCUUCGUAUUGGCUAGUUGGUGAGGUAACGGCUCACCAAGGCGACGAUGCGUAGGGGGUGUGAGAGCAUGACCCCCACCACUGGGACUGAGAUACUGCCCAGACACCUACGGGUGGCUGCAGUCGAGAAUCUUCGGCAAUGGGCGCAAGCCUGACCGAGCGACGCCGCGUGUGGGAUGAAGGCCCUUGGGUUGUAAACCACUGUCAGAGGGGAUGAAGUGUUCCGGAGCAAUCUCCGGGAUUUGACAUAGCCUCAGAGGAAGCACGGGCUAAGUUCGUGCCAGCCGCCGCCGUAAAAC
rnacentral:rRNA from 1 species